GUGUCUCUGCUGCCUUACUCACUCAGAUUAAUGCUACCGCCGCCAGAACGGGUUUCCUGGUCUGAUUUCUGCUUAUUGUGGCUCCACCGUUCUGUUUCUCUGUAGCUGUAUCACUGUCAUUGCUAUUCAUAUUGACACGGUUGUUAUAAGAGGUGUCGGGGCUGUUGUUGUUU